GAUGAACGCUGGCGGCGUGCCUAAUACAUGCAAGUCGAGCGAACGGACCAGAAGUUUGCUUCUCCGAUGUUAGCGCCGGUCGGGUGCUUCCCUUGUGGAUAACCUACCUCUACGACUGGGAUACCUUCGGGAAACCGGAGCUACUACCGGAAAAUAUUUUGAACUUCAUUGUUCACAAGUGAAAGUCGGUCUUGCUGUCACUUAUAGAUUGCUCCGCACUGCAUUCGCUAGUUGGUAAGGUAACGGCUUAACAAGGCAACGAUGCAUAGCCGACCUGAGAGGGUGGUCGGCCAGACGGGAAGUGAGGAACGGCCGCGACACCUACAGGAGGCAGCAGUAGGGAAUCUUCCGCGAUGGAGGAGAGCCGGACGGAGCAACGCCGGGGGAGUGAUGAAGGUGUUCGGAUCGGAAAGCUCUGAUAUUAGGGAGGAUGAUAUGUGUAUGUAACUGUGAAGAUAUUGACGGUACCUAAUGAGAAAGCCACGGCUAACUACGUG
rnacentral:rRNA from 1 species